UACGAAGGGGGCUAGCGUUGUUCGGAAUUACUGGGCGUAAAGCGCACGUAGGCGGAUACUUAAGUCAGGGGUGAAAUCCCGGGGCUCAACCCCGGAACUGCCUUUGAUACUGGGUAUCUCGAGUCCGAGAGAGGUGAGUGGAAUUCCGAGUGUAGAGGUGAAAUUCGUAGAUAUUCGCAAGAACACCAGUGGCGAAGGCGGCUCACUGGCCCGAUACUGACGCUGAGGUGCGAAAGCGUGGGGAGCAAACAGG
rnacentral:rRNA from 1 species